UACGAAGGGGGCUAGCGUUGCUCGGAAUCACUGGGCGUAAAGCGCACGUAGGCGGCUUUUUAAGACAGGCGUGAAAUCCCCGGGCUUAACCUGGGAACUGCGUUUGUGACUGGAAGGCUAGAGUAUGGCAGAGGGGGGUGGAAUUCCACGUGUAGCAGUGAAAUGCGUAGAUAUGCGGAGGAACACCGAUGGCGAAGGCAAUCCCCUGGGCCUGCACUGACGCUCAUGCACGAAAGCGUGGGGAGCAAACAGG
rnacentral:rRNA from 1 species